AUGACUUUGAUUUGCGUCCUCAUCUGGACUCUCCUCUGCUUCACUCAGGGGUCUGUUGGACAGAAUGUUGUUGUGACUCAGUCAGCAGCCAAAUCAGUGCAGCUCGGACAAACUGUCACUAUUGACUGUAAGGCCACUCCAACAAUAAAUCAACGCUCUGGUUCACAAUACUACCUGAACUGGUACCAUCAGAAACCUGGAGAAGCUUUUAAAGCUCUGAUCUACUUGACAUCAGACAGACUUUCAGGAAUCUCCUCCAGAUUCAGUGGAAGUGGAGCAGGGAAUGGAGUUGACUUCACUCUGACCAUCAGUGGAGUUCAGGCUGAAGAUGCAGGAGUUUAUUACUGUCAGAGUUAUCACUGGUUGAAUAGCCAGCCAGUGUUCACACAGUGA